UGGGGGAUAUUGCACAAUGGGCGAAAGCCUGAUGCAGCGACGCCGCGUGGGGGAUGAAGGCCUUCGGGUUGUAAACUUCUUUUGCUCUGAACAAGGCGCACCAUGGGGUGUGUUGAGUGUAGGGGUUGAUUAGCGCCGGCUAACUACGUGCCAGCAGCCGCGGUAAUACGUAGGGCGCGAGCGUUGUCCGGAAUUAUUUGGCGUAAAGGGCUUGUAGGUGGCUGGUUGCGUCUGUCGUGAAAGCUCAUGGCUUAACUGUGGGUUUGCGGUGGGUACGGGCUGGCUUGAGUGCAGUAGGGGAGGCUGGAAUUCCUGGUGUAGCGGUGGAAUGCGCAGAUAUCAGGAGGAAUACCGGUGGAGAAGGCGGGUCUCUGGGCUGUUACUGACACUGAGGAGCGAAAGCAUGGGGAGCGAACAGG
rnacentral:rRNA from 1 species